rnacentral:lncRNA from 1 species
AGGGCCUGCUGGCCGGCCCUGCCCGCUCACCCCUGGCCGCCUAUCUUAGCGUUCCUGGGGGUGGGGCCCCUUAGGCCGCCUUUCUGAUUUUCCUUUCCAGAGCCAAACUCGUGUGUUUCUUCAACACUCUGACUUGACCUAUGCCGAUGACUGGGGGAGUGAGGACGGAGGGGUGCAGAGAAAAGGCAGCCAGGUAAAAGUCCAGUGUCUCUCGAGAAUGAAAAUGACCAGGCCAUCCUCACAUUCUACAGAGGUUAACCCAGCAACUUAGGGACACAGCUGGGGCAGGACUCCCGGGCUCCUGGUCAGUCCCUCUAUGGGGAUGCUAAGCCUCAGGGCUGACAUCUCUUAGCUCUGCCUUCCAGGGAGAAUUUCACAGGGCCUCCCAUUUGUGCUGCUGUGAAGGCCGUCCUGCUCCUUGUCAAGCCUGUCUUCUCCGUGGCUUGAGGAAGAUCUCUUUCGUGCCCAAAUUGUGAAUAAGUAAACUGGAUGCAGCAUCUCUGAUUGCUCUGGGAAGAAAUUUAUGAGAAGUGCCUGAGAAAAGUCAUGAUUUUAUGCCUCUGCUAAGCAACCUGUUGGACACUGCUUGGGCUGAGGAAAGGCAAAUUCACUCCCUUUUCUGAAGCUGGGACACCCUCCUUCUCCCGCGCUUGGACAUCAGCACUCCAGGGUCUCCAGCCGUCGGACUCCAGGACCUGCACCGAUGGCCCCUCAGGUUCUCAGGCCUUUGCACUCAGACUGAGCUAUGUCACCAGCUUCCCUGGUUCUCUAGCUUGUAGACAGCAAAUCAUAGGACUUCUCAGCCUCCAUAAUCAUGUGAGCCAAUUUCCAAAUUAAAUCCCCUCUCAUUUAUCUAUAUCUCUAUCUAUCUUAUUUGGUUGUUUCUCUGGAGAAUCCUGAUACAAAGGGUUUACAUUGAAUGUCAUUCGCAUAUGGUUAUAUAAAUAGUAGCCGUUUUAACACCCUCAUCUAAUUCUAUCAUGAAUGUCAUUUCUGGAUCUGUUUAUAUUGAUUGAUUUUUCUCCAGAUCCUAGGUCAUAUUAUCCUGCUUCUUUGCAAGCCCAGUAUUUUUGUUUGGACACGGGACAUUGUCAGUUUUGUACUGUUGGUGGCUAGAUUUUAUUAUAUUCCUUUAAACAGUGUUGUGCUUUGUUCUGAGAUGCAGUAAAGUUACUUACGAUUAGUUUGAUCUUUUUGAGCCUUGAUGUUCAACAUUGUUACGGCAGAUCCAGAACAGCCUUUGUUUUAGGACUAAUUUGUCACCUCUUUGAGGCAAUUCUCUUCUACUUUUCUCCUCGAUGUCCUGAAUUUUAGGGGGUCUUCCCAGUCUGGCUGAUGGAAAUGUAGUUUUUGUUGCAUAAAAUUUACCUCAAAACUUAGCAGCUUGAAUCAACAGGUAUUUAUUCCCUGCAGUUUCUUGUGUCAGGAAUCCAGGAGUGGCCCAGCUGGUGGCUCUAACUCAAGCUCUCUCGUGAGGUCGCAGUCAAGGUGAUGGCUGGAUUGGAGCCCUCUGACUGGGGCCAAAGGAUCUGCCUCCAGGACGGUGACUCACAUGGCUGUAGCCAGGGGCUCCAUUUCUUGCCUCAUGGACCUGUCCGGAGGCUGAUUGAGCAAUACAGCUUCUGGCUUUCCCCCAGAGGGGCUGACCCAAGAGAGAGCAAGCAGGAGCCACAAGGCUUUCUACACCCUAGUCUCUAAAGUCACAAACCAUCAUCGUCACUUUCACCACAUUCUGUCCUUUAGAAACAUAUUAGUAAGCCCAGCCCACAUUCAAGGGAGGUAGGUGUAGGCGCCUCUUUUUGAAAGGAAGACUAUCAGAUAAUUUAGGGAUCUAUUUCUAAGCUGCUCUCACAGACACACAAUAUCCCCAGGCCUGAGUGAUUUCUGGAGAUCGUUCUGCCUGCAAGCUCCUUCCUUGGUGGUUUCCUCACAUUCAUGUGCAGACCAGUACUCAGCUGAAGACUCAAGGCACUCCUUGCAGAUCUCUGAACCAUUCUCUGUGGCUCCUUCUUCUGCAGAUCUCUGCCCUGCAAAUUCUAGCUCCCUUGGCCUCCCGGAAGCCCACACUCCAUCUCCUGAGCUGGGCAGGCCCUCAGGCUCUGUUUGGGCUCCCUCUCCUGGCACUGCUGAGGUGGACACUUGUGAGGCUGCUCUUAUUGCUUCCCCUCUCCCAGGAAUCCCUGUCCUGUUCUGCCUAUUGUCCAGUGUCCACUAACUGUUGUUUCACAUACUUGUCCAGCUUUCCGGCUGUUUUUAAGACAGGAGGGUAAACCUGCUCCCUGUUAUUCCAUCAGGACCAGAAGUGGGACUCCCCAGCAGCGGUGCUGGCUCCUGAAAAUGAGUCAGCGGCCAUGUAGCAGAGGGGAGACUGACACCCUCCCCUCUUCUUCUUCUUUUUUUUUUUUUUUAAUUAUACCUUAAGUUGUGGGAUACAUGUGCAGAACGUGCGGGUUUGUUAUAUAGGUAUACACAUGCCAUGGUGAUUUGCUGCACCCAUCAACUCAUCAUCUACAUUAGGUGUUUCUCCUAAUGCUAUCCCUCCCCUAGCCCCCCACUCCCCAACAGGCCCCAGUGUGUGAUGUUCCCCUCCCUGUGUCCAUGUGUUCUCAUUAUUCAACUCCCACUUAUGAGUGAGAACAUGCGGUGUUUGGUUUUCCGUUCCUGUGUUAGUUUGCUGAGAAUGAUGGCUUCCAGCUUCAUCCAUGCCCCUACAAAGGACAUGACCUCAUCUUUUUUAUGGCUGCAUAGUAUUCCAUGGUGUAUAUGUGCCACUUUUUCUUUAUCCAGUCCAUCAUUGAUGGGCAUUUGGGUUGGUUCCAAGUCUUUGCUAUUGUAAAUAGUGCUGCAAUAAACAUACAUAUGCAUGUGUCUUUAUAGUAGAAUGAUUUAUAAUCCUUUGGGUAUAUACCCAGUAAUGGGAUUGCUGGGUCAAAUGGUAUUUCUGGUUCUAGAUCCUUUAGGAAUCGCUACACUGUCUUCCACAAUGGUUGAACUAAUUUACACACCCACCAACAGUGUAAAAGUGUUCCUAUUUCUCCACAUCCUCUCCAG